GGAGCUGUGGCGCAAUGGAUAGCGCAUUAGACUUCGGAUCUGAGGGUUGCAGGGUCGAGUCCUGUCAGCUUCG
rnacentral:tRNA from 1 species